rnacentral:rRNA from 1 species
UACGAAGGGGGCUAGCGUUGUUCGGAUUUACUGGGCGUAAAGCGCGUGUAGGCGGAUCGUUCAGUCGGGGGUGAAAGCCCAGAGCUCAACUCUGGAAUUGCCUUCGAUACUGGCGGUCUGGAGCAGAGAAGAGGCGAGUGGAAUUACGCGUGUAGAGGGGAAAUUCGUAGAUAUUCGGAGGAACACCAGUGGCGAAGGCGGCUCGCUGGUCUCUUGCUGACGCUGAGACGCGAAAGCGUGGGGAGCAAACAGG